rnacentral:rRNA from 1 species
AUUGAACGCUGGCGGCAGGCUUAACACAUGCAAGUCGAGCGGAGAUGAGGUGCUCGCACCUUACCUUAGCGGCGGACGGGUGAGUAAAGCUUAGGAAUCUGCCUAUUAGUGGGGGACAACAUUCCGAAAGGAAUGCUAAUACCGCAUACGUCCUAGGGGAGAAAGCAGGGGACCUUUGGGCCUUGCGCUAAUAGAUGAGCUUAAGUCGGAUUAGCUAGUUAGUGGGGUAAAGGCCUACCAAGGCGACGAUCUGUAGCGGGUCUGAGAGGAUGUACCGCCACACUGGGACUGAGACACGACCCAGACUCCUACGGGAGUCAGCAGUGGGGAAUAUUGGACAAUGGGCGGAAGCCUGAUCCAGCCAUGCCGCGUGUGUGAAGAAGGCCUUUUGGUUGUAAAGCACUUUAAGCGAGGAGGAGGCUACUUAGAUUACUACUCUAGGAUAGUGGACGUUACUCGCAGAAUAAGCACCGGCUAACUCUGUGCCAGCCACCCGGUAAUAC